UUCACUUCUCAUGCUCGUAAAGUUCGACUUUAAGUCGUGCGUAGACGACAUAAAGUCGUUAUGUUCUAGAGCAGUGCAGUAAAAUUAUCUAUUACGACCUUUAUUGAGUUAGCAAUCGCAGUCCUGCAUCUGCCAUAUGAACUGCCAGCCCCCUGGACGCCCCGCGCCCCCCGCGCCCCCGCGCCCCCGCGCCCCCCGCGACCCCCGCGCCCCCCGCGACCCCCGCGCCCCCGACACAACCGAGUACUAUCUUGACAUGUAACUCGCCCAGCGAUAAGGAAUUCACGGCCGGUUGUGUGCAUGAAUGGGAGCUUUUUAGUUUUACCCGCCGAUAAUUUUAAAUUAAGUAAUCUCAUUUGUAACUUUAUAUAAAUUUUGUUUAUCCUUUGUACCACAACAAUGUUUAAAUGUAAAAUGUAUCCACGAAUGCAGUGUCGAUACAAACCCGAUAGGGUUUCACGGUACUUCUCUGUCUGAUUUAAUGUAAGAUUUUAAUAUAGAAUAAAUAAAUAAAUAAAAAAAUACUUCACUCUUGAAUAAAUACGGUAAAAUAACCUUCAAUAUUCGAUAUUUUUGUAUAUUUUACUCACACUCGAAGUGAAAAGCAGAGUGUGUAACUCAAGCAUAAACGUCCAUUUUUGUCCUCGCUGCGCUCGAACCAAUAAAUUGCCUCGGAUAAAAAUGAAUCGCUUUAUGCCCCUGUUGUACAAUCUACUAUUUCGUUCUCAUACAAAAAAUACCGGUAUCCGAUCCCUGGUUUUGUCUGCUCACGAAAUUACAACUUCAAAAAAAGUUCUAACUUUCUCUAGGAAUUUCUUAGUUCUUCCUUUGGGCAGUUGUUCCAUCGGUGGCGAUAAAGAUAGUAAUGUUUGCAUUGUUCGCACGAGUAUUGUUCCAUUGCACACCUCAGUAAAAAAAAACUUGGUCUACUUGCCAAAAACAUUUUUGAAUAUUGAUUUGUGAGGUUCUCACGUAAAUUUACACUCUUACAGAUUACCAGCUAACCGAAGAGAUCUCUUACCCCGCCAACAACCUGGACCAAUCGCUACAGGACCAGCCGAGCAACGGCGGGUGAUGGCGCAGGCAAUAACUUGCGAAGAAUCUGGCUGGACCACGGACAAUUUGCGGACGCGGACGAACAAAACAGCGCCAACUUACAAGGUCGCACUUUACAUACAAAUUUUAUGAUAACCACUUCGAAAUAGGCGGUUUUCAUAUACUUUCAAAUACCGAUCUACAGCUAGGCCGCGUUUUUCAUGCAGAAUCUAUGACGGGAGCGUCUUUCUUAAGUGCGUUGCACCAUUGAGAAGCAUUACAAUGGUUGGUUUAGUGACCUUCAUAUUAACAAUGUUAUUGAUUAAGAUUAUUGAAUUAUAAUGGAAUUUUGUCAAAUAACAAUUACAAAGUAAUGAUACCCGUAAAUAAGAUGUUUGUUUAAGAUCAAUAUCAAUUAUAAUAUCAUAUAUUUAAUCAAUAAUAUUGUAGGUAUGAUAGUUUUAGCGAAACGCUCGAAAUGAUUUUUAAUUAUGGUCUUAAAUAUAAAAUUUUAAUAUUUCGUUAAUACUUGUUCCGUUAACUUUUCGAUCUAUUUUUGUAAUUGUUUUUAUCGAUCCGAUCCGAGUCGAGCCUUUGUAUAUUUUGUUAUAAUUUCUUAGCUUUACUCUUGUAAGUACGAAAUUAAUGUAGUAUUAAAAAAGAAUGUUUUAUUUUUAUGAUUCCAUACAUUAUGUGAUCUGCCGCAUAUGUGCGUUUCUUUAUAAUAAUUUUCCAGAAUGUUUCUAUUUAAGUUAGUUCAUGUAAAUACCUUUAGAGCGACUAUAUGUUUUAUGUAAUCUAAAUUUUGUAAAAAAUAAUCAAAAAAAUUAUAUUCAGUGUAUUUUGCUGUUUGUAUUCGGAAGUAUUACUCGACAAUAUUAUAUUGGAUCAUUAAAUUAUGAUUAGAUAUUUGUAAAUGCACAAAUUAUGAAUUUUUGACUGUUAUAUAUGUCGCAGUAGAUAAACUAAAGUGCCCUACAACCCAGUACCUUGUAUUUGCCAUAUGUAGUAGUGAUAUAAUAUAUCAAGCAAGUUUUAAAACAUUCUAGGCAAUGCCUCUUUGAGUGUGAUAUUUAUUUAGCAGGGUUACUUUAUGAACACCUUUUAUAAAACCUGAAUUGACGACAAAUCAUCCUGUAUAAUUAUAACAGCUUAUAAAUAAGAUCAUCCGUACAUAUUAAGUAUGAAAUUCCAUAUAGCAAGCGAUUUUAUAAAUGUAUACACUAAUAUACGAAAAUAUAUAUUUUAUACGUAAGCUAGGCAUCCAAUCCCCUCCAUUUUUCCGAAUAUUUGUAUGUUUGUAUGUUAUAUAAAGAGCUUUUAGGAUUUGAGAAUUAAUUGGAAUUGUACUUGAAUUCGAAUCAUUAUGGUAAGGUAAUUAACUAAUAAAAUACAUGAAUAAAAUAAAAAUAACCGGCCACGUUUGCAUUUCCAAGAUGGCUGCCGUCAGGCGAGCUCGCUUCAGCUUCAUCCGAGAUAUAUAUUGUAAUACAUAGUUAGUGGUAUAAAUAAAUACCGUUACAUACAAAUGUA